rnacentral:misc_RNA from 1 species
GAUGAAGAACGUAGCGAAAUGCGAUACGUAAUGUGAAUUGCAGAAUUCAGUGAAUCAUCGAAUCCUUGAACGCAUAUUGCGCUCUCUGGUAUUCCGGAGAGCAUGCUUGUUUGAGUAUCAGUAAACACCUCAACUUCCAUAUCUUUUUUGAAAUGGGAGUUGGACUUGAGUGAUCCCAACGCUUUUCCUCACCGAAAAGUGGCGGGUUACUUGAAAUGCAGGUGCAGCUGGACUUUUCUCUGAGCUAUAAGCAUAUCUAUUUAGUCUGCCUAAAAAACAGAUUAUUACCUUUGCUGCAGCUAACAUAAAGGAGAUUAGUUCUUGUGCUGACUGAUGCAGGAUUCACAAAGACGGCUUCGGCCGACUUUGUAAACUCGAUCUCAAAUCAAGUAAGACUACCCGCUGAACUUAAGCAUAUCAAUAAGCGGAGGA